GACUGGCGGGGUGCUUACCAUGCAAGUCGAACGGACUUAUAUUGAAACCUAGUGAAAUAUAAGUUAGUGGCGGACGGGUGAGUAACGCGUGGAUAACCUGCCGUAUACAGGGGGAUAACACUUAGAAAUAGGUGCUAAUACCGCAUAAGCGCACAGCUUCGCAUGAAGCAGUGUGAAAAACUGAGGUGGUAUACGAUGGUUCCGCGUCUGAUUAGCUAGUUGGUGGGGUAAUGGCCUACCAAGGCGACGAUCAGUAGCCGGCCUGAGAGGGUGAACGGCCACAUUGGGACUGAGACACGGCCCAAACUCCUACGGGAGGCAGCAGUGGGGAAUAUUGCACAAUGGGGGAAACCCUGAUGCAGCGACGCCGCGUGAGUGAAGAAGUAUUUCGGUAUGUAAAGCUCUAUCAGCAGGGAAGAAAAACCGACCAUAGGGUCGCUAGACGGUACCUGAUUAAGAAGCCCCGGCUAACUACGUGCCAGCAGCCGCGGUAAUACGUAGGGGGCAAGCGUUAUCCGGAUUUACUGGGUGUAAAGGGAGCGUAGACGGCAGCGCAAGUCUGAAGUGAAAUGCCGGGGCUUAACCCCGGAACUGCUUUGGAAACUGAGCAGCUAGAGUGCAGGAGAGGUAAGUGGAAUUCCUAGUGUAGCGGUGAAAUGCGUAGAUAUUAGGAGGGA
rnacentral:rRNA from 1 species